UUUUGACCUCGGAUCAGGUAGGAAUACCCGCUGAACUUAAGCAUA
rnacentral:rRNA from 1 species